rnacentral:misc_RNA from 1 species
CGGGUGCUGCCCUUCUCGUUAACGGUUGCAUUCCGGUGGCCUUAAGCAAUUCCGAGGGAACUGGCUCUGUCCGGACCGUGGUCCGUUUAUCCGGUGCCCACCUGUACACACAGGUCCUCGGGAAUGAGAAAACCAAACGGCUGCGGCGGGCCCGCC